rnacentral:sRNA from 2 species
ACCCAGGCGAACUAGGGUUCCGGUCUGCAGGACGCAGGCGCUGGUCCGAGAGUUCUCCGGCCCGAAGGAUGCGGGCUACACGGCGGGAUAAAAGCCCGGGAGAC